GUAGGUUUAUUCUAUCCCCAACACUACAGGGGCGAAAAAGAAGUCAUUGUUGAACGACACGGAGCACCUAUGGAAUGCACAAAGACAAAAAAAUAUGAAACAAAAAUAACAGAAAUUUAUCGGCUCGCCGGCCGCGUUGGUCGCACAUCCUUCCGCGGAAUAGCUCGAAUCAGUUGCGGAUGUGGAAGCGGUGCAACUGUGAAAAGAGGACUUGGAGGCGGGUCAUUGCGAUCUCUAGUUAUAAAUCGUCACUCUGCCUGCAUGGCUAUGAGAAAGUCGUCAUAAAAUGAAAGAGGAUGCGGGAGAUAGACCUCGCGACUGAUGAAUGGGGCCAGACCGGUCAAAAGAUGAGAAAUAAGUCGGACCUCUAACUCCGAGACCGAUAUCGGCCGAUGAAUUGUUGGCAGGUGAUUGUCAGCGAUAAGCGCCAACAAGCGCCUGACAAAACUCCCUACGGAUUCCUCUACCUGCUGGAAACUCGGAAAAAUCGGAGAAUUUAGCUCUGGUGGCGACUCAGGGUCGAACCACCAUGUUUAUACAUGUUUGAACUGUAGGUAGGUAUUUAUCCGGCCAUGGUGAAUGGCUGAAGAUGGACAAUCUCGGGCGUAACCCGAUAGACUGGCAAUAGCGCGGCAUAAUCGUUUUUCAGGCCCCCAACGAAGGAAGUCUGCAACUAUCUCAAAUUGAACAAAAAAGAUUCGAAUUUGAGGACCAAAUUCGCCGGAAAAGGAAGGCAAUGUCAAUCUUCCUGCCCUAUUCCCCUGAGCUUGUGCCAUCGUGUCUGAAUUCUAUAAAUUGAAUAAAUGAAAAUAAAAAGGAAUGAAUUGAAAUUUUCAGCGGUCUCUCUCUUUUUGCACUACCCCACUUCUGACACCAAAUGUGAGAACCGCCGUCGAUGCGAGUGGUAGUUUUAGG
rnacentral:lncRNA from 1 species